UUUGAGCAUUUAGCAUUCAGAUUACUCUGUCAAAUGUAAUGCUUAUUUAUUCACAAUGUUUUGAAUUAAUCAAGCAUUAUCUUGUAGCUUUGAGUUUUCGCUGAUGUGAUUGUCUACUUUUAGAAUAAUAUAGUAAGGUUGGAAUGAGAGGCUGAAUCU